ACGGAAGGCAGCAGCUAAGAAUAUUCCGCAAUGGACGAAAGUCUGACGGAGCGACGCCGCGUGGAUGAUGAAGGUCGGAAGAUUGUAAAAUCCUCUUAUAACUGAGGAAUAAGCAGGGUGAGAGAAACGCCUUGUGGUGACUGUAGGUUAUGAAUAAGCAACGGCUAAUUACGUGCCAGCAGCCGCGGUAACACGUAAGUUGCGAGCGUUGUUCGGAAUUAUUGGGCGUAAAGGGCAUGUAGGCGGUCAUAUAAGCUUGAUGUGAAAGGCAGGAGCUCAACUCCUGGACUGCGUUGAGAACUGUAUGACUGGAGUCACUGAGGGGCAGACAGAAUUCCAGGUGUAGGGGUGAAAUCUGUAGAUAUCUGGAAGAAUACCAAUGGCGAAGGCAGUUUACCAGCAGAUGACUGACGCUGAGGUGCGAAGGUGCGGGGAGCAAACAGGAUUAGAUACCCUGGUA
rnacentral:rRNA from 1 species